UACGUAGGGUGCGAGCGCUGUCCGGAAUUAUUGGGCGUAAAGGGCUCGUAGGCGGUUUGUCGCGUCGGGUGUGAAAACUCAGGGCUUAACCCUGAGCCUGCUUCCGAUACGGGCAGACUAGAGGUAUGCAGGGGAGAACGGAAUUCCUGGUGUAGCGGUGAAAUGCGCAGAUAUCAGGAGGAACACCAGUGGCGAAGGCGGUUCUCUGGGCAUUACCUGACGCUGAGGAGCGAAAGUGUGGGGAGCGAACAGG
rnacentral:rRNA from 1 species